GAUGAACGCUGACAGAAUGCUUAACACAUGCAAGUCGAUGGGGAAGUGGUGCUUGCACCAUGGUAACCAUGGCGGACGGGUGAGUAACGCGUAAGGAACUUACCUGCGGGACCGGGAUAACAGCAGGCAACUGCUGACAAGACCGGAUAAGGUCAUUAAGCUGCAUAGCUUAGUGAUGAAAGGAGACGCCUGCGGAGAGCCUUGCGUCCUAUUAGCUAGUUGGAGGGGUAACGGCCCACCAAGGCGAAGAUCGGUAGCCGGCCUGAGAGGGUGGACGGCCACGAGGGCACUGAGAUGCGGCCCUGACUCCUACGGGACGCAGCAGUGAGGAAUAUUGGACAAAGGCGGCAACCCUGAUCCAGCAAUUCUGUGUGCACGAAGACGGUUUUCGGAAUGUAAAGUGCUUUCAGCAGGGAAGAAGGAAGUGACGGUACCUGCAGAAGAAGCGACGGCUAAAUACGUG
rnacentral:rRNA from 1 species